rnacentral:tRNA from 1 species
AGGGAAAUAGCCCAGUGGUAGAGUGCAUACUUAAGUGUGCAUGAGGUCCUGGGUUCAAUCCCCAGUACCUCCA